AGUGAACGCUGGCGGUAGGCCUAACACAUGCAAGUCGAACGGCAGCACAGUAAGAGCUUGCUCUUACGGGUGGCGAGUGGCGGACGGGUGAGGAAUACAUCGGAAUCUACUUUUUCGUGGGGGAUAACGUAGGGAAACUUACGCUAAUACCGCAUACGACCUACGGGUGAAAGCAGGGGAUCUUCGGAUCUUGCGCGAUCGCAUGAGCCGAUGUCGGAUUAGCUAGUUGGCGGGGUAAAGGCCCACCAAGGCGACGAUCCGUAGCUGGUCUGAGAGGAUGAUCAGCCACACUGGAACUGAGACACGGUCCAGACUCCUACGGGAGGCAGCAGUGGGGAAUAUUGGACAAUGGGCGCAAGCCUGAUCCAGCCAUACCGCGUGGGUGAAGAAGGCCUUCGGGUUGUAAAGCCCUUUUGUUGGGAAAGAAAAGCAGCAGGUUAAUACCCCGCUGUUCUGACGGUACCCAAAGAAUAAGCACCGGCUAACUUCGUG
rnacentral:rRNA from 1 species